AUUCCGUGAUGAGGAAACUUUCGUAAAAAUUCUUUGUACCUUUCCCAUGCUUCAUACAAGUCAUCCAUUUGUUGGAAAGCAGUAUUCUCGUUCCUCAACUU
rfam:Gossypium hirsutum cultivar TM-1 chromosome 4, whole genome shotgun sequence